CAGGAGCCUUUUCCAUGGGACCUUCACAGGGGCCUGCGCACCUUUGCGAGCCUGGGCUGGAGCUGAAGCCUGGGCCUUAGUUGGAGCUGUGUGGCCUCUGCCUUGGUUCGAACCUUGGGCUUUGGUUGGCAGAGCCUUUGACCCUUGGCCAUGUAGCUUCGAACCUUCUUCCCAAGCCUGGGGUCUAAAUUCAAAUUGAUGAAGAGCAGCAGCUAAGCCCUAUACAGACAAAAGCCUCUGGAGGGCUCACUCUAUAAGAGUUAAGAAAGUCACCAUCCUCAUGUGGUCUAAGAACUGCUGCCGUACUGGAUCAUAACACCCACAAGAGACUACAUGUCGUCAUACUCUCCCGGCCUGGCUGCUGGUCCAUGACAAGGAUGUGGCAGCCAUCAUCUACGGAACACACCAAGCAGUGUGUCUGGGUACGAGCAGUGUAGAACUUGUCAACAGCUCCACACAGCUCCAGUUCCAUGCAGAAAGCAGGGCUGCUCACCGCCAGUUCCAGUGUGCACUUGAAGACUGACGGGAAAGCUGGAUUGUGUUGCUUCUUGGAGCGGAAGCUGAUGAGGAAGCCACCGAUUAACAGUCAAUAUGUGUGCCUAUCUGCUGUCAUCUCAUCUCACUGUGCUGUCAUGGCCACAGAACUGUCAGCUGCCCCACAUCUACCUUACCCACCACGUUAUCUUCUCUUGACGCCCUCCCUGAACUCCAUCUGGCCCCUUCCUCAUCACAAUAACCCCUUGUUUACUUUCAUGCUUGUUUGUGAAUCUAUACCUCUUUCACAUAUGAGAUCAACAAUACCAGUGUCUCUGGCUUAUUUGACUUCUCAGGAUGAUCUUUAGUGGGGCAAUAUUCUCAAAGAUAGGUGGCAUGGCCUCCUAUUCCUUCCUCUUGUCACCUUUAUUGGUGAAGUGCAUAUUGACAGGAAACUGCAAUAUGAGAAAGAAGCCCGAUAAAACAAAAUGAGAAAGAAGGAGCCUGGGCCCUCAGUAACUAAAGAACCGUCAUGCUUGUCGGUUGGAUGGCUUCACUCUGGCACCUAAAUGCUCAAGGGGGCAAUGAAAUCAAACUUGUUAAGCUGCAAUUAUACAGCUGUUCUGUCCUCAUAGCUGAACUUAGUACUGACUGAUUUAAGUUAGCACUUCAUUCACAGACAGAGGUGUCUUUAGAUCUCAAAUUUGUAUGAUCCCAUUAGAAAUAUAGACAAUGUAAUAAGUACUUAAUGUUUAUAUACUCCAAUUAAAUUUUAGGUAUAUUGGGUUUUAUGGUCUUCACAAUCACCUCUAUAAAAAUAUUACUUUUAAUUCUAUCUGCUUGUUGAUUUAACUAUAAACAAAUAAAAUCUUGAAGCUUAAGGUAUACCUCAUGUCCAAAAGAAAAAAAAUGAGUAAAAAAUGAAAUUCAAAUCUCAUGUUCUCCUCACCUCCUGUAAGUGUAGUACAUGCACAAGUAUGCUCUAUCUCAUGUAAGAACCUAAACUGUGCGCUGAAUUAAGCCCUUCCUCCCUUCAAUUGUUCCUGUCAGUUGUUCUGUGUUAUCACAGAAGCAGGAAAGGAACUAAGACAGCAACUAAAAGUCUUUUUCAAUCAACAAUGAAUCCAAUUAUGAGAUCAAACCUUGUAAAGUUAUUAAAUGCCUGGUGUGUAACAAUCCACUUGGGGACCUAGGCUAAAGAAACAAUAGUGCGCAAAUGUCAAUAUAGCAUAAUUUGUAGUAGGGAAGAACAACUAGAAAAACCUGAAUGCCAUUUCUACAACAUGGGGAUUUAGGAGAAUGAAGGUGUGAUGGUGUUUGCAUAUUCUUGGGCCAGGGAGUAGAACCAUUUGGAGGUGUGGCCUUGUAGGAAUAGGUGUGACCUGUUGGAUUAGGUGUGUCACUGUGGGUGUGGGCUUAAGAUCCUCACCCUAGUUGCCUGGAAGUCAGUCUUCCACUAGCAGUCUUUGGAUAAAGACGUAGAACUCUCAGCUCUGCUUAUGCCAUGCCUGCCUAGAUGCUGCCAUGCUCCCACCUUGAUGAUGAUAAUGGACUGAACCUGUAAGCCAGCCCCUAUUAAAUGUUGUUUCUUAGAAGACUUGCCUUGGUCAUGGUGUCUGUUCACAGCAAUAAAACCCUAACUAAUACAGAAGGCCAUGUUUGUAACUCUGGCUAUGUAACUGUGCUUACCCUGCCCCUGCUGUAGCAGACCCUUCUUGUGAUACAAGAUAUUCUAGCCCAAGACAAUGGAUGCGACAUGCCAAGAAAAAUAGAGCAAUAAACAUACAAAAAAGAUGCCAUUCGAAUUGCCUUGAAUGAAGUCUCCAUUCUAGCAUAAGCCACUGUUAGAAAACUGAAACCUGUAUCAAUAUACAGACAAUAGAACCUAGUGCAGUUAUUUUUGCCUUGAAUUUGUUUUAUUGGGGUGGGGGAGGUUAGACACAGAAGUUGCACUGUACACAUUAGAACAUUAUAUCCCACAACAAAAAUAAUUUUACCAAAAUCAAAUAAUGCAGCUUCUUGUAAGAAUGAACUACAGUUAUGUCAAUUUGUUAGAGAAUGACCUUGAUUAGAUGCACAGGUAUGUGAUAAAUGAAUAACGCAAAUUCUGAAAAGAAAACAAAAUAAAAUACCAAAAUCUAUGCAUGUCAAUAUUCAGAUGCUAACAGGGAAACGUACACAAGGAUAUACUGGUCACUGCAGAAAAACUGGACACUUGGGAAAUGAGCUCAAGGGGCAAUAAUUAAAUAUUAUAUUUAAUGAUCUCAUAGUAACUUUAUAACUGAAAAUGUCAGCUAUAUAAAACUCAAAACCAGUUACAUAAUUUAAAUGUCAAAAGUUAAUACUGGGUAUGAAUCAUGAUAGUGCUUUAAACCACAUAAAGGGAAAACAAGCAGUGGGGUGGUAGUGGUGGUGCCCAUCUUUGAUCUCCACACUCAAGAGGCAGAGGCAGGAGGAUCUCUGUGAGUUCGAGGCCAGCCUGAUCAACAGAGUGAGCUCCAGGAUAGAUGGAGUUACACAGGGUGGAAAAAACAAAACCAACCAAAAAAAGAGCUGUUGGUAUCAGGCUUCUGUGGUCGUCUUCCAAUCCAUUGAUUUCUUUAGUUUUUCACUUUAGGGAGAAUUUCAAAUCUGUCUAAACCUUGAAAUAAAAGUAUCCCUUUCCUCCUAGAAGGCUACAAGCAUUUGAAAUUACUCAUUUUCUUGGAUAAAGUCAACCUCAGGGGUCUAAGGAGGUUGGUUGAGUCCCUGUAAUUUCCUGCCCCAUGCUUUGUAUCCCACAGUAAGGAGUCUUGAAUGAGGUUAGCAGAUAAGCAGCCCAAGUCCCGUUCACCUCAAGGGUUGCAUAUGAACCCUUCUAUAAAUAAGAUCAAGAUACUAAAAAGGUAACCAGCAUUACUUUUUCUACCAAAAGAUUUAUAGAUGGUAAGUGGGCAAAAUGACAUGUAUGUGUAGGGACUGUGUACUAAACCACAAGAGGAGCUGCUAUCCAGCUAAGGGUGAGGUUUCCUAAUGACAAGACAAGGGAAGCACUGCUCGCCUCAGCCUCAGUGCCCAUGCACCACAAGAGAAAGCACCUAUCCCAGUUACAACUUUGUACUUGGACGUCUGGCUGGCUACUCAACCCUGUUAGUCUUUUCCAAGAAACCUUUUAUAUACAAAACCUUUAGUUAUUUUCUUUUGGCUGAAAAAAAAAAUCCUAUCUUAUAAAGUAGGUGUUCACUAAAUCAUGAAGGUUGAUGAAAACCAUACCCUUGAACAGGAAGUUCAAAAGACAGAAUGGCAGGCAAGAGUUGACCCAUCUGUAUGGAAACAAGUUACCAUCCUUGGAGGGCCAAAACCGCUGACAAUAACACACCAUUAUUUAUGAAAAGUCUCUGCACCCUGGCUCUUGUCAGACUGGUUCCCAAGCCACUGCUGGGCUAAGCAGGCGUGCUGAUAUCUGCCUGGCCUUGUGUCCUCAGAGCUGUCAGGCACAGAGGUGCGAGUGACAUGUGAAGAGAAAAACGUGGUGGGCUAACCAAUCGGUGGCAGAAGAAGGAAUCUAAAAGGCUGUGAGGAAAAAGGACCUGCCAACACUGAACACUUAAAUAUGACUCUCCAUCAAACUUAAUGAACCUUUACAUGGUGAUGAGCAGAGGAGGAGACUUCUUGGCAGCAUUUUCUAUACUGGCCCAGAGAAGGUGUCUGGCCACAUUUGGAUCUAUCCAACACUUUCCCCAUCUGCCUUCUUUUCCUUUUUCCUCUUCCUCUUCCUCUUCCUCUUCCUCUUCCUCUUCCUUCCUUCCUCUCUCUCUCUCUCUCUCUUUCUUUCUCUCUUUCAAUUUUGGAAAACAAAUUAUUUCAUCAGCCAGCAGUUAGUGGUACAGAGCACUGCUAAUUUAAUUUAAGCACCAGAAAUCACCCUGCAUCCUGAUCAAAGUAUGCUGAGAAAAUUCUAACUAUGUCACCUAGCUAGAUGGUGCAUCAUCACUUCAUAGCCAGUGGCACCGUCGUAGAACUUACUCUGUUUUUUCUUUAAGGAGGACUUUGCUCUUCCAAGAGAAUCAAGCUUUAGAGUAUGAAUACAUACACAUAUACAUACAUGCAUAUGUAUAUCUAUAUGUAUAUCUAUGUAGAUAUACAUAUAUAUACAUACACAUAUGCACGCACACAUAUAUACACAUACAUAUAUACAUACUCUACCUAAGUGUGACCAUGUUUAAUUUUAAAAUCUCAGUGUAUCAGGAAAUAUAACAACAGAACAGUAGACGUUUUCUACAUGCAACUGUUUCAGCAGGGGGUCAGCAUUCUCCAAAUUUUAUUAAUGAUUUUAUCAAGUGUUUAAAUGUGUUAGACAGCUAAUCUCUCUCUCAGAGUAUAGGUUUUACUUCUCCUAUCCAUGAGCUUUCUCAACAAACCAUGGGAAAGUUCAGCAAUACCCUACUUUGAAAGGUGCUCAACUGUCUCCAUAGCCUUACAAGCCAUUCUAUCUUUCCUGGACUCAAGGACAUUUCUUUCUAAAUAUGAAUGAACAGCUAUAUGUCGUCUUGGUCAAUCCCCCACAUUAAAAACAAUGAGAGCAUAGAUUACACAAAGACACAGAAGCUGUUGUGCUUAGUUUGCCAGGUUUUACAUAAAAAUGUGUAUGCCUUUUCUUUGCAAUAAAUAGUCUUGCUUUUAGUCUAAAAUUUUGCAAGAGAACUUGGUAUGCCGUGAUUGACCUUGAGUUUUAGCAUAUUUAAGAGCAUCAUAAGGCCAACACCAGGAAAUAGAACUAUGUUUGUGCUAUGGUUUGGCUAUAAAGGAUCCUCCAAAAGGUCUCAAUUGGUAGGGACUUAGUUGCCAGCUGAUGGUCUUCUUGAACUGAAUGGCUUUCAAAGGCUCUGAGCUAACAGAUGAAUUAGUCCUAUGCUACAUUCAUAAUAUGGCAUUCUUAUUGGGAGGUGGUGGAAGGCAGGAGGUGGAGUGUGGUUGGAGGAGUAAGUCUUUGGCUGCAUGGCACGCCCUUCCCUGUUUCACAACUGUUAUAAGAUGCCUAGCCUCUGUCACAGCCCCUGUUGCUGAGCUAUUUUUCCCCAAGGCCCCAGACAAUAGAUUCACUAAGGUUGGCCUGCAAUCUAUGAAGAUGUGAGUCAAAAUGAGCUUAUCCCCCACAGUUGUCUAUCAGGCACUUCCUCACAGCUUGUACUGAUUUUCUAAAUCUGUUCCACGGUCAAUAGGAAACAGCAUUGUUAAAUUACAGGGGCCAGUUGGGAAUGCCAUCAUUUGCUUUCUGCUGUGACAGGUCACUUGCUGUUUUAGUAUCAGGUUACACACCACAAUGCAUGAGGCUCAGAAGAAGUAACUACCUGCCUGAGAUCAGAAAUCAGUAAAUAACAGGCUGACUUUCAAACAAGGGCUAUAACUCUCCAAACUGAAAACUCUACUCCAUUGAGCUGCUUUUAAUCUAAGUUUGUCCUUUUGUUUACUUAUGUUUCUAUCAGUGUGUAUAACAUGCCGUGUGUGUGUGUUUAUGUGUAUCUGUGUGUAUGAUGUAUGUGAGUGCAGAUGUGAGUCGGGGGUCACAGGGUAGUCCUGGGGAUCAAGCCUCUCCUUCUACCAUGGGCUCUGAGGCUGGACUGGCACAGCCAGCCCUUCUACCCACUGAGCUCAUCUUGAUGACCCUCAGUUUGCCACUUUUUGUAGCAAAUAAUUCAGAAAAAAUGCAUUCAUAAUCAGAAAUCUAUUUUAGUUCUAAAAGUGGAAAAGGAACCACUGUAAUUCAUUAAUAAUUUGGAGCAAAGUCCAAUCCUAAGGCUCAUUUUGACCAACAACUCAUAAUUUUUAAAGUUACUAAAUUCUUUUUUAUUUGGGUGAACAAUAUUUUCAGUAUUGCCAUUUGGUGUGUCAUAUGCUCUUCUAAACAACAGAGAAUAAAUUAGAGGGGCUAUGUUCUAUAACAAACCAUGAAUCAUUCCUUUGCUUGCUUAUUCUACGCACUGCUUAUGUUCUAAGUGGUUCAUGUAUAAAAAGUCACUUAUGAGAAUAAUGCUAAAAUCAGGCUCAAUGGCUAGUGUCAAAUAACUGAUGAAGAGUUCAGGCACAGGAAGGCUUACCAACUUGCCCAAGGGCACACACCUAAUAAGCAGUGAGAUUAGGGUAUGAGCCCAUGGAAUCUGAUUUCAGUAUCCACAGGGUUAUGUACAAUGUCACACUCACAUUCAAAUUAAAGCACACGUCGUUUACCUGUCAAAUGGCUACUACCUGUCUUUUAGUCAUACUCACACAGUGUACGUUAGUUCUCCAAAGAAAAGGAGUGGUGUGUCUGUGUAAGUGUAUAUAAAUAUAGUAAAUAAAUCUUUUAAAAAAGGAUCAGGAACUGGAAUAUCCACCUUAGAGAGCAAUGUUGUUCUAUUCAGGCCCUUGAUGCCUUGGUGGAAGUCUGCCUCUAUUGGUAAGGGUAAUUAUGGUCUUUGUUAUGUAUCUAACAUUGAAUCUGAAAACAACCUUAUAUAACCACAUUCAAAUAAUGUUUAGUCACUUCUCUAGGCAUCCUUCAUUCAGUCAAUUUGACACAUGAGAUUAAUCAUCAUACUGGGUUAAAGUGGAACAGACACCAAGUAAAUUAAGGAAGAUCACAACAUUCUUUCGGAUCUGAAAUAGGGUUUCAUGGGAUGUCCUGCAAUUACUCUACAUGUCCUAUCCUGGGGGGAGCGGGGAGACGGGGGCACAGGUAAAUGUAUCACUAGAGUUUAUUGCUCUCUUUGUGGCUGGGCCUGAAAAGGCAGCAAUGAAUGAGAGAUUGUCCAAUUCAUGUGGUUAUCUGAGUGCCUUGCUAGUGCCUUCAUAAAACAGAAACUUAAGAGAAGCCAGAGAAUGUGGUACCUUCUUACAUUCCACUUGGAAAGUAGUUGAUACAGCAUCCAUCCUGAAUGAACACACUUAGUACUGCAAGAACACAUCCCUCUGUGCUUAUGAAGUGCUGUACUCAUUAUUUGAGAAGCAGCUUGUUUACAGAUGCCUCAGUGAGCUAUCUUCUUCUGUUUCACGAGAGAAAUUAGUAUGUGAAGAAUCUUUCAUACACCAUCAACAUAGUGUUUUGUAAUCUUUGUAAUGUUUUUAAUGAUAAUAAUCCAAAUCAGUAAUUAUUUUCUAUGUUUCCUGGAAUGGUGAUUACUGGGUUCCUCCUGGCUGCCUCUGCUGUGUUUAUAUUGUGCUUUCCCACUUGGGUUAAUCUAAAUUCAAAUCAGAGGAUAGGGGAAAGAAUGAAAACUGCUCGCCCUAUUAUAAAUCACUGCUGUGCAAACACUCUAGGGAACGCGUGACGGCUGCACGGCCUUUCUCUGCUAUAAAGAACACAUAUAGAAAACAGUGUGCCUGAAUACACACCUCAACAUUGUACAUGAGGAAAUUCCUCUCUCCACAUGGGAACAGUUGGACAGAUGGUAAGGAUCAGCACACUCUUUAAAGACAGUACAAGGAACUCUGCCCUGGGGCCGCCAUCACACAGACCAGGUGCUCCAAGGAAGUAAAUGUUGCUUUCCUCUCAAAAACUGCCUCUUCAUAUGUGUGCUGAGUUUUCAUGACAUCUUUAGAAUUUUAAGAAGUAUAACACGUAGAAUAACCAUGUUCAGUCUAUAUUUGAGGGUAAAACAAAUAUUUUGAAAAUGAUGAUUUAGAAUAUAAUCCUAGUUUUUAGCCAAGAACCUAAGACUUUCUAGAGAACGUUUCGGGCAAAACAUGAUUGGCUAUUUUAAUAUUAUUACAAUGUUAUGUCAGUAAAAAUUCAACAUUUCUAAUAAAAAUUAAAUCUCUCUCUCUCUCUCUCUCUCUCUCUCUCUCUCUCUCUCUCUCUCCCUCCCUCCCUCUCUCUCCCUCUCUCUCUCUCUCUCCAGCUGGAGAGUUUUUUAUGCCACUCAGGCCCUCCUUAAAUGCCAGGUCAUUCAUGUGCUGGAACUACAAGUCAGUGCGACCAUAGCCAGCAGAAACAGGAUUUUGAAUGGCCCCUCAUUAAGGUUCCUCCAUUUUGUCCUGGAAUUGCAGCUGAGACACAUCAAUGGGCCUUUCUCUUUCUGCCUAACAAAAUGCAGGAAGGCAUCAUUAAUUUAAAUUUUUAUGUACAACAUAUAUGCAUGGAGGUCAGAGGACCUGCCAGUUCCUUCCUCCAACUCGGGCCCACAGGCUCAAGCAUAGGUUCCUUUAUUUGCUGAGUCAUUUCCAUGGCCUGAAGGCCAUCAUUCUUCAUUGAUAACAGAGAAUGACAGGGAGGGGGUGUGGGAAGCCUUUAUGUAACCCCUGAGAACUAUUUUUGUGCAAUUAGGAGCUAUGUCAACAACCAGUUGUAAAGGCUGAAAGCACAUACCAGCAUGGGAUACACGCUGGCAGUGUCAUUGAAUACAAACAGCCCAUCGGGGACUAGAAAAUUAAUCUGAUAUGGCUAACUACCCCAAAGAGGUAUUUAUAACAACAUGCACAAUAUAUAACUAAUGUGUUUCAUCACAUCAAGAACCAUUCAAACCCAAAGACACUGAGCUUUAAAACAAAACAAACUCCAUAUGUGCUCUGGAGUAGCUGAAAUACACUUGUGCCGGCCGCUUCAGCCUCGGGUAUUAUCUGGUACACUGUUCCAAGUUAUGAUCUCUCACAAUGGCCCGUAACGCAGCACCAGCUAAGCCUGUGGUGGAACGCAUCUGCAGCAGCAGCUCAGCAGGCCUUUCAUGUGGCACUGCCUGCCCGCAGAUCUCGGUAUCGUAGGAAUGUGGUAUGUACUACAUAACUGUCAUAUGUAAUUCAUAUUACCAAGCAUUUCACCUGUUAAUAAGAUCUCAGAUGAGAAUCAGCUCUGGAGAGAACUGCCACAGCUGGAUGGCUAUCUAUCAGUUAAUUGGUUGCCAUGUUUUCUGGGUUGAACUUUCUAUUUUCUUUGUUUUCCCUUUUCUAAGUUUUUUUUUCCUCUUUUGAUUUGGUUUUGUCUGUCCUGAGAUGAUUUUUUAAAAUUAAAGCACAUUAGCACAACAAAAUUCACUACUUUACAAACUUUGCAAUUCAGUGGGUUUUGUCAUAAUUAUCAACAUGUACAAUGGUCACUACUGUCUAAUUCCAGGACAUUUAGAUCACCCUUUGAAGCUACACUGACCCAUUAGACCUCGCUCCCCCUCCCCCUCCUUUCUUACUGUCCCUGUAUACCCCUGCUCCCUGCUGGCAACUGCUCAUCUUUAUGUCUCUGUUAAUAGAAAUCAGCUCAUUCAGCAUGUGUCUCCUUGCCUCUUGCUUUUCACUUCAAGGCCCAUCCAUGCGGUGGCAUAUAUUGGUACUUCAUCUGUUUUCAGGACUGAAGUCUGAAUACACAGCCUAUUGAACCAUUUAUUGUGGUAGCACUGGGUUGCAUCUAAUUUGAGGUUAUUGUGAUUAAUAACUGAACGUUGACACCCCCAUGCUCUUGUGGAUAGGUGUAGAAUUGCUAGGUUAACACUUUGAAGUAGAGUUGGGAACUUUAGGUUCCACUUUUUCAGGCUACUAAUGCAUUUUACAAAAUUGCUGCCAGUAACAGAGGAAGGUUCAAGCAUCGCUUGUAUCAAUAUUUGUCUUCUUUUUUUAUAGGCUAGUCAUCAUAGUUGUUACAAAAAAAAUGUGAUUUUCAUUGUUAUUUCUCCAAAAUUAAACUUAGCAUCUUCCCUGCCUCCUGGUGAUCCUCUUUAGGAAGGUGGAUGCUUACCCUUGAGUGCCCUGACAGCAGAUGCACAUAAACCAUCACGUGUGUGGUGGGUGUGCACCUGAGGCUGUCUGCAGAAGAGGCUGGCAUUUCAGGUGAUAGACUAAGGCAAAGAUCAAUCUGCUGUGGGCCUGAACAGAACAAAAGGCUGAGCAAGACUGCAUAUGUUUUUCUGCUUGAGUUGGGACCUCUAUCUUCUGUCCGUGGACAAUGGGGCCACUGGUUCUUGGGACUGCAGAAGUAAGCUAGACUUUCUUCACCGCUGGCUUUUCUGAGUCUUCAACUUUCAGACAGCAGAUUGUAGGUCUCCUCAACCUCUACAGACACAUAAGCCAACGUCUAACAAGUCUCUAUAGCUCUCAACUCAUAUCUCUUAUUGGUUCUAUUUUUCUGGAGACCCCUGACAAAUAUAGAUUUUGAACUAGGAGUGGGAUGCUACUAUAAUAAAUGCCAAAAAUAUUGAAAUAGCUUUGCAACUGGAUAAAGGAUGAAGACUGGAAAGAAUUUUGAGGUGCAUGCUAGAAAAAUCUAGACUAUAAAAUCAAAAUUUGAAAAGUGAUUCUAGUAAGGUCUCAGGAGAGGAGAAGAAUGGAGAAAACCCCAAUUUCUUAAGGAAUACCUUAGGGUUACUGUGCAGAAUGUUGGCCAAAAUACAGAUUGUUAGGGCCUAGAGUAAAAUGAGUAUGUUACCAUCAUUGUAGGAAAGCCAUUGUUAUUAAAUGACCAUGAAUUGGAUAAGCAGUAUUCCUGGUACAGCAAACUCUGAAGCAAUGUGCAGGCAUGCCCACACUGACUGCUCCCCACCUGAUGGCACUUCACAGACAAUGUUCUCUUUCCUUCAGAACCAGGCUUGUAGCAAGCUUUCACUGGGCUUGCCUGUCUAUCAAUGCUGUUUUUCCAACAGCAUGUGCCCAUUUUCUGCCCUUGUGUUAUAGUUUGGUGAUUCUCACAAUAUCUAUUUUUACAUUAUUAUUACAUAUGUAUGACAAUCAUUGAUGCUAUUACUGUAAUUUUUUUGGAUGCCACAGACCCUGCCAACAUAAAAUGAAACACUGAUAAAGUUUGUGUUCUGUACAUCCUACCAGCCAGCCAUUCCACAUCCCUUCUUGGAUCUCUCUACUCUCCCAGACACUAAAAAUCUUCAAAUUAGACUAAAAUGGCCUCUAACUGUUCCAGAAGAAAGGAGAGCUGUACACUGCUCCCUUUAAUAAAAGCUAGACAUGAUUAUUGUAAGGAAGAAGUUGUGUCAAAAGCCAACAGGCUGAAAGCUGGGCCUAGUGUAAGGGACCUGACCAAGUAGCAAGGGAAAAGAAAGUUCUCACAGAAAAGCGCUACUCCUAAAAUUAGGGAGGUAGACUGGCAGUCCAGGGUUUGGAAGCCAGUGAGGCCAGACCCUUUCCCUCAACUUUGUAUAUGACUUCUUGUUUCUUGGGUAACCCUAAAAAGCUUGUCCUUGGGAUUUAAAUUACCAGAAGAAAAGUAGGGAUAUCUGGGCUUUGUUGACCCCACUAAAGGAAUCUACUUUCUCUUGGUCAAAAAGUACAAUCUUAGUUUUACUCCUAUCCCUCGGUGAAGGCCUGUCAUUCUAAGCUCCCCCAAUCACUAAGAACUAUUGUCUCCUUUUAUGAAUUAAUUGAGCUGUCACAGUCAAUUGUCUUGCCAAGAGUACACACACACACACACACACACACACACACACACAGGCACAAGUACAUGUGUACACACUGCCUAAUUUUCUAAAAAGUAAUUGGAAGAUCUGCUAAAGAGAAGGGCGGGCUGAGUAUUCCCUUAAUGGUGAACAUACUUACAUUUCCCUCCCUGGAUACAGCUGAACCGCAAUACUUCCAACAUGGUAAAGCCUACCUGUCAGAAAAGCAUUACUUUCCAUUUUUGUUUUGUUUUGUUUUUUAAAUUUUUUUCUUUUGGUUAUUAGACAAAUGCCUAAGCAUGCUUUCCUUGGCACUCUGGACCCCCACCCCCCACCCCCACCCCCACCCCCGGUUCUCCAUCUCCCUCCUCUGGGAAUCUGUUCUGUUGUUUUUCUCUUAAAUUUUAGUAAAACUGUCCUUGGGCUUCCUUCUGAGUCUGUUUUUAAAUUCUUUUAUUAAUGAGACUAAGAACUUAGAAAAAAAGUUAAUUUUGGUUUCACUGGUAAUAUUGUGGACACAUGAAUGACAGACAAGAAAGUGAGACAGCCUUAGCACUGACAUGGAGAAAAUUUGAAUGAUCUGAACAGAUGAUCAAACUAGCCACUGCUUUCUCUUAAACCAAAGUCUAAUAGACUAGAGCCUGGACCCUUCAAGAGAGACUAGGAUGUUUAAAGCCUACAAAUACAAAGAUGGCUUUAUGGAGUUUUAAAAAAGCUGUCUCCAUGAACAAAAGUGCUAAUGAAGUCAGCAGUGUAGUGACAUUUUCAGACCUGUGCAGGAGGUAGCUACAUCAACUGUAAGAUUACAUGGUUCUUUCUGCAAAGUGCUAUAAACAUUGUGUUUAUGAGAAGGGACUCACAUUUAUUUCUCUUCCCUACCUUGCAUGCAAAUGUUUGAAUUUCUCCUCCAUACAUAUCCAGUAAAAUAUUUAUUUAGACAAAGGCUCUACUACAUUCUUAGAACUUAGGAAAAUUCCUAAGGUGGCCAAUCCCUCACCUGCUUUCUUUCACUCUCUUUGCACCAAGUUUUUGAAAAUUAGCCAGUCUCAAAAGACUGCGAGGUAAGACCCCAGCAGACGUGGAAAAGACCCAGUUACCACCUCCCUUAGGAUAGCAGCCAAGUGCACUUCCUGGACCAGUGUUCACUCUUCCCAGAUCUUCAGCAUCUUGACUGAAAGUCAAGUUUUGCUGUGCCCAGAUACUCUGAUUGAAGUGCUAGUCUCUUUCUUUGCCCUCCUGAACUUAGUUAACACAACUAACCCAUUCUCCAACAAUCAAUUAUCAUUGUUCUUGAAGAGGACUUCAUCUAAGAUUUUCAUAGCUAGAGAGAAGUCAAUGCCUGGAUUCAAAACUUGGAAGAUUCUGUUAUAAGAACCUAAUAAACUGAAUUUAGUGCUUCAAAAACCCUAGAGUCCUUAAGAAAGACGUUGGGUUUGCUUGGUGCUUUGAGAGUGGAACAAAGCUUGUGUGGCAGUAGCACAUCUGCUCACAACAUGGGCUACUUGAUAUUUUAAGCUCUACUGUUGAGAAGAGAGUCAUUUCAAAGUAUUUCUGAUUUUGCCAAUGCAUCUGCUCCCCCAGGACCUCUAAAGGAGACACACAGUGAGAUUCACAUUGUUUCUACAGUGCAGCCCACGGAUCAAGGAGAGCUUUUGUCUUUCAAGUCUUAUUAUUUAUAAGACAUACUCAUUAUAGGACUAUAGCUAGCUACCUUAGGUAAUACUUCUUUUGUUGAACUAGGGCAGAGUACAUUGAAAAUCUCCUAGAAAAGAUCCAUUAUUCUAGACUCCAUUAAAAAUGCUAGUAAUUUAUAGGAGGAUGUCAAAAUAUAUCAUCAUUAAUAGGUGGUUUGUAGAAGUGGACUCCAAGUGCAGAUUUCAUGAGGGAACUAAAAUACAGAUGAGUUGGAAGUAGCAAAAGAAUUAACAUUAGAAAUAGCAGUGGCCUGAAAAUGUGUCACAUGAUCAUUAGCAGUAUGCAAUUAACUAUUCUUUAAUUAAGACAUAGACAUUGGUAAAGAGCUGGUGUUACUCAAUAUUUAGUAAAAGAAGAUAUAAAAUAAACAGCUUUCAUAAGCCUUGGGAAACACACACACACACACACACACACACACACACCCCUCAUAUAACUAACUUCUCUGCAAUAUUCUCAUUCAUUCUGGAACUAAACCUGUCUCCUAAGUGCUUAUGUUUACUUAAAGUUAUUUCAAAAGAAAAUGUUGAAAGUGAGUUUUGAUUAUUUCUCAUCAUUUAGAGUAAAACCAGAGAUGAGAAGAAUGCUAAAGGAUGAACUUUGAAAAACAAAAUAGAUAGAAUAUUAAUUUAAGAUUGACAAAACACUCACUAUUCAUAUUACAGGGGAAAUGAAGGGUUUGUCCAAGGGACAAGUUGAUAAGGACAUCAUAGAGCUGUCACCACAAUCGACAAUUGAACACUGACACUGGCGACGGAUGCUGCAGAUCUUACGUGCUGACUUUCAGAAUGGAUAAUGAUUAUCAUCUCAUUUUCAACAGCAUAAUGGCGUCCAUCCAGAUUUAUAGGGAGAAGCCCGCCCCAAACCAUGGAAGCAAGCUCACCUAGAUCCUUUGGCUCAAGCCCUGUCUGGGAAAGCCGCACAGGCAGAGUCUCUACUCACUCACCAGGUCUACAACACAGGACCCCUUCCAGUAGGCAUAGAAAACAGGGCACAAAAACAAAGAAAGGGAUCCUUAAAAGCCUCAAGGGCUUGUGGAAUUUGUCUUACAUUUUGAAUUUAUUUAGGCCCUUUUGCUUCUUUCCUUAUUCCUACUUCUGCCUUUUGGAAUGGAAACAUCUAUUAUAUAAUCCACACCGUACCAUUCUGGUUUGGAAGCAUAUAAUUUGUUUGGUUUCACAAGUUUACAACUAGAGAGUAGUUGCCUCCAGUAUCACCAUCUUCUAAUUGCUAUCUAUAACUAAGAUUGGUCAUAUUUAGAUGACACUUCAAAUUUUAGGCUUCAAAAUUGAUGCAGGAAUUAGUGGUGAAUUUGAGGGUCACAGUUAGGAUGUAAUGAAUACUUCUGCAUUUAAGGACAUAAAAUGGGGGAAUUUUAGACCAAUUUUAAGCCAAAAGGAAAUAGAACAACUGGUAAAAUUUACAAAAUCCUCAGUCUAUUCUUGUUCAAAAAACAGAAAAUUAGGGCAUGAAUGAAGGACAAGUUAGUGAAGAUAUCAUCAUUAGUCUAUGUAUUUCCCAAAUCCAUAAACUGAGGUUCUAACCCCAGUGUGAUGCGGUAGGUGGUGGGCUUUGGUAGGAAACGGGUUGGGCUAAUGGUCCACAGGACUGUGGCAUGCCGUAUGCUAUGUGAGGGCAAGGCAAGAAGAGAAGGUGCCAUGGAGUAACUGAGGCAGGUCCUAACCAUGGACUGAAUCUGCUAGCUAGCACUUUGAGCUGAGACAUCCCAGCCUCCAGAAUUGAAAUAAAGAGUUCCCAUUCAUAAGCCACCCAGCCUACAGCAGUUAGUGUCAGCAAUUCGAGAGACUUCAAUGAAAAUGUAUAGACAUAUCUGUUCAUACUUAAAUAGCUUUAUCGGUGUUUUUUGUUUGAGCUAUGAGCAUUUUUAAUUAACACCUAAUACUAGACUUAUCAAACAUGAUUUGCAGUGUUUUUCUGAUUCUUUGAAUUGUCUUUUUUUGUUAGUGUUCCACAAAGCAAAAUAUGUUACUAGGAUGUCAAACUAUGUUUUUUUUUUAACUAUAAAAUUCUUGAAAUUUACUUUUUCAUAACAGUGACUAAACUGAAAGUGCAUUUUAUAGUUACUCAUUUACAAAAGAACUAAAAAGCAGUUUGUAAUCCCUAUGUUAGCACAGAAAUCAAAUUCUCUUUUUAUUCUAAAAAUCUCAAAAGAGAUCUUUAUGAAGUGGGUGGACUGACGAUGUCACAGAAGCUACAAGUUCAUUUUCUCAUGAGAGAUUUGCAACCAUAGGUUUGGUGUUUUAUAAUACAACUCCCGAGAAAACUGCUUAGAAAGGAUCUGAAGCGAUCUGACAAGUCUAAGUCACAGCUGUUUCUAGAGUUCCCAUACUUACAUUUUCCCUUGAGGGGCUCAAGAGAAAAUUUAUGGUGGUAGUUUGAAUAGGCAUUGGCUCCCAUAAACUCAUGUGUUUGAAGGCUUACCCAUAUGGAAUGGCAUGAUUAGGAGGUGUGGACUUGUAGUAGGGGUGGCCUUGUUGGAAGAAGUAUGUCACUGUGGGGGUGGGCUUUGAAGUCUCCUGUGCUGAAGCUAUGCCCAGUGUGGCACAAAGUCCCCUUCUGCUGACUAUACAAGAUGUGGAACUCUCAGCUCCUUCUCCAGAACCAUGUUUGCCUGGACCCACCAAGAUUACUAAUUCUCCAUGCUGGGAUUGGUCUGGUGCUGCUAAAUAUUCAAAUCUAAAUUCUGUACUCCAAGAUCUAGUUGCCCCAAGAUGAGUAAAUUCUCACAUGCACCAACUUUUGUUUUACAAACCUUGCUCCCCAAGUUAACUGGUCAAUAAAAACCUAAAGCCUGUGAUUGAGCAAUACAGAGAAGAAGGCAGGACGUCCUGGUAGGAGGAAAGGAACUCUGGCAAGAACAAAGAGGAAGGCCUUUCACCUGGAGACAUGAGAGGAGAAGGAAGAGACUAUGGCCUGGAAGGUAUAACUAGCCACAUGGACCCAGGUUGGUGGGUUAGCUUAGAUGAACUAGUUGAGAGUCUGCCCAGCUAAGGCUUAAAUUUUGAAAUACAAAAAGGUCUCUGUGUGGUUAUUUGGGGAACUAGUUGAUUAAGGAAUAAUUUCACUGUAUUAUUUUCCAGCAUUAAUUAAUAUGUACAGAAUAUUAAUAAUAAUCAUUUUGUCCCUCAAAUUGUAAGCUAGCCCCAAUUAAAUGUUUUUCUUUAUAAGGUUUGCUUUAUAAGGUUUUCUUUAUAAGAUCAUGGUAUCUCUUAACAACAAUGAAAUCCUAAGACAGGCUAGUAAGGGUGGCUCAGUAGUUAAGAGCACUGAUUCCUCUUCCAGAGGACUUGGGUUUGAUUUCUAGCACCCACAUGGUGGUUCACAACUAUCUGUAACUUCAGUUCCAGGGGCUCUGGUGCCUUCUUCUGGCUUGCACAGGCAUAAGACACAAACAUGAUGCCAAGUUAUAUAUAAAUGUAAGCAAAGCAUCCAUGCACAUAAAAUAAAAUAAUUGUUAAAGGAUUGUUUUAGAACCUACAGAUGAACAAAAUACAAGUACUAAUCCCCAGAAAAUCUUUGCCAUCUAUAGUUGUAAAGCUAUAAAAACAUAUUUCUUCUGUAACAUUCUACAACAUGCUUAGUCAUUAAAAUUAAUUUUCAGACAUACAUGCCAAAAUACAUGAUAUGUCUGCUUCUUUUAGACAGAGCUCCAACAGUAAGCACUUCCCUUUGGUAAUAAUGCAAUAGCUAUGCAAUUUCUAAGCACCAUAUAGUUUUGCAAUGGAAAACAAACUAGGGAAGCUUUGAAGGCUGGGUGGCAAGUGGGGUUUUACUAGGCCCAGGGGAGUGUGUGAAACCAUCUUCCCCACCAUCUGUUGCUUUGUAUCUGCAAUUCUUCUGGAAGCCAGGCCAGAAGAAAAGGAAAAAAAAAAAAAAAAAAAAAAAAAAAGGAUGACAAGUGAAAAUAUCUUGGCAAACAAACAAAAAAUAAGACAUUCGAAACAAACAUCUUCCUACAAAGAGUUGAGCUUUCUGUUGGACCAGUCCAGCAUGGCUCUGCUUUAACAGAGUGCACAGGCUCAGCUCAUUGAAAAUGCUGUGCUACAGUGGAGGAGGAAGAGUUGCUACGGAGGGAGCCUCAUCAGGAGCAACUGGCUUGUUUUCCCUCAGAAGACAGAAGCUCUUUCAGGGCAAAGUGUGUGCUUAUCCUGCAUCCUAGGUACCUCAGUGCUGGUGCUGAGCACAUAAACCCAGGAAGACGUGAAUGGCAAGGAACACGGAGACUGACUGGAGAGAAAUGAGUUUGAAGGAUGAUGUCUAGUGCUUAUGACUCACGUGAGGAAAGAUAUGUAACAAUGCCACAGCAUCUUAGAGAGGACUCAGUAACCACUCAUCAGCUUACUCAUCAAGCAUUUGCCAAUCUGCCAUGAACACUGUGUUAGACACUAGGGUCUGAUACACAAAACACAGUAAAUCCCUGGCCUCAUCAAGCUUGCAAUCAAUACUUCUUACCUUCACCCCAGCCCCCAAAUAAGCUUUAAACCCAGUCUCAUUCUGGAAAGUCCAGGUAGAGUCUUGUCAUGGCCCACAAACUAGUGACCCAAACACAGGCCUGCCCACCCACCAAGCCUCUAUUUUUCUCCCGCACAUCCCCAUCACCAACUCAUCAUGUGAACAUACUUUUAUAGUCACUGUGUGGACUGUUUAGG